rnacentral:rRNA from 1 species
UACGGAGGGUGCAAACGUUGCUCGGAAUCAUUGGGCGUAAAGCGCACGUAGGCGGUCCGGCAAGUCGGGUGUGAAAGCCCUCGGCUUAACUGAGGAAGUGCAAACGAAACUACCGGACUUGAAUACUGAAGAGGAUCGCGGAAUUCCCGGUGUAGAGGUGAAAUUCGUAGAUAUCGGGAGGAACACCAGUGGCGAAGGCGGCGAUCUGGGCAGAUAUUGACGCUGAGGUGCGAAAGCGUGGGGAGCGAUCCGG